rnacentral:rRNA from 1 species
UAGGGUUUGAUCCUGGCUCAGGACGAACGCUGGCGGCGUGCUUAACACAUGCAAGUCGAGCGAUGAAGCACCUUCGGGUGUGAAUUAGCGGCGAACGGGUGAGGAACACGUGAGAAAUCUGCCUUCAACACUGGGAUAACUCCGGGAAACCGGGGCUAAUACCGGAUAUGAAACCUGCGGGCAUCCGCGGGUUUGGAAAGUUUUUCGGUUGAAGAUGAUCUCGCGGCCUAUCAGCUUGUUGGUGAGGUAAUGGCUCACCAAGGCGACGACGGGUAGCCGGCCUGAGAGGGCGACCGGCCACACUGGGACUGAGACACGGCCCAGACUCCUACGGGAGGCAGCAGUGGGGAAUAUUGGGCGAUGGAGGAAACUCUGACCCAGCGACGCCGCGUGCGGGAUGAAGGCCUUCGGGUUGUAAACCGCUUUCAGCAGGGAAGAAGCGAAAGUGACGGUACCUGCAGAAGAAGCACCGGCUAACUAUGUGCCAGCCGCCGCGGUAAUUC